UCCCAUUUGAGUUUCCAUGAGACAAACUAAUGCUUCAUUGCUUUAGAUUUUCAAUAAAGCCAAAAAUGGGUCACACAAGAAUUGAAAUUAUGACUCUUUUCUUAUUUAUUACUCUUCUCAUUUCCUCACAAGUUGAAGGCUAUCGACAGCUCAAUCAAGUUCUAUAUAAAGAUGGCGGGAAGAUGAUGCGAAGUUAUGCACGUUUUAAUUGUCGUAGUGGAUGUUGUAAUUUAAGCGGUUCCAGAAAAGGCGGAGGCAGAGGCAAAGGCGGAGGCAAUGGAGGAGGCGGAUCCUGCACUUGCUGCCCUUAAUGUUUGAUUUUAAAAACAAAUGUUUUAUUUCAUGUAGUUUAAGGUGUUCAAAAGGAUAAAAAUAAAGAAAAGUAAAGUCCAUGUAUUUUUGAAUAUUUGAGUUAUCUACGAAUGAGGUCCAAUGUCACGAUCA